ensembl:lncRNA MEG8 maternally expressed 8, small nucleolar RNA host gene
GAAUGAACGCACUUGAGUUGAUUCAAGCACGCUUCCAUGGUCAUGAGCUCUGUGGUUGCAUCUGUGUGUUAGGAGCAUGCAGACCAAUAGUGAUAAUCUCGAGGUGAUUUAUGCAUUCUUCCAUGGCCACCAGCCUUAUGAUUGCAUCUGUGCGUCACAGCUUAGAGAUCAAUAAUGGAUGCAACAAGCUCUUUGAAUCAUUCUGUUGGGAUCAAGAUUGUUGUGUUCCCUCUGUUUGGAAAGAGACCAAGAAUGGAUACGCUCAGGUGAUUUAAGCAGUCUUCCAUGGCCACGAGCUCUGUGGUUGCCUCUGUAUAUUAAGAGCACAGAGAUUAAAAAUGGGUGCACUUGAGCCGAUUGAAACAUUCCUCCUUGCAUCUUUCUUCUGUGAUUGCAUCUAUUUGUUAGUAGCAUAGAGACCAAUAAUAGAUGGCUUGUGCUGAUGGAAGGAUUCCUCCCUGGUGACAUGCUGUGUCUGCCUCUUGAUUGGGAGCACGCAGACCUACAAUGAUGCACUUUUUAUGAUUUGAGAAUUCCUUCAUGGUCACGUGCUCUGUUUUUAUCAUGGUUGGGAGCCUGCAGAGCAAUAAGGGACAUGCCUUUGCUGAUUUGAGGAUUCCUCUGAGGUUGGGAGCUAAGUUUGCAUCAUGCUUAGAAAGGAGUGUGCAGACCUGUAAUGAUUGCACUUUGCUGAUUGAAGGAUUCCUUCAAGUCCAUGUGCUCCACUUGCACCAUUUUUAGGAUGGAGCCUGGAGACCUAUAAUGAACAACUUGUGCUGUGUUAAGGAUUCCUCCAUGAUCACGCGCCCCAUUUGUACACCAUGCUUGGGAAGGUGCAUGCAGACCAAUAAUGGACGUACUUGUGAUGAUUUAAAGAUGCCUCCAAGGUCACGUGCUCUGUUUGCACCAUGCUUAGGAAGGAGCGUACAGACCAAAAAUGGAUGAAUUGUGCACCUUGAAAAGUUCUUCCAUGGUCACCUGAGGCAUCUGCGUCAUGAUUAGGCUCCGGAUGACUAAUAAUGGACGUACUUGUUCUGAUUUGAGGACUUCUUCAUGGUCACAUGUUCUGUUUGCACCAUGCUUAGGAAGGAGCAUGUGUACCAAUAAUGGAAGCACAGAAGCUGGUUUUAAUAGUUAAGAGCUGUAUGGUCCAUCUCUGUGCUAGAAGCUGGAGACCAAUAACAGUCACUCCCUGCACUGAUUCUGCCAUGACCACUUGCUCUAUGGUUGUUUUAAGGAACCUACAGACAAAUAAUGGAUUAUCAUUGGUGAAGAUCUUAGCUGUUCCAUAGAAGGAACACACUUAUCACUACAGUGAUUCUGUAAUGAUGAAGACCUUUAUGGGAUGGGUAGACCAGAGCUGAUUAAAUUAUUCUCCCAUUGAUGAGGAACUUUACCUUAUCCCUCAGAGUAAGGAGAAUGUCAUAUAAUAACAGAGGUAACUUGGCUGUUUUAAUAAUUAUUUAAAGGAUGAAGAUCUUGACUGUUACCCAUGUGGCAAGGAGAGUGUAGAACAGGGAAAGAUACUGAUCUCUGUUCUUGGUUAAGUUCCAAGAACCAUCUAAGUUUCGUGCCCCUCAGCUGUAAAAGGGAAGUACAUUUCAUUUGUUUAUUCUGUAAAACUCUCGGUGUGUGCCAUGGCCAUGCACUGAUGAUGAGCACAUGUGUGCGGCCCCUGCCCCCGUGGAGCGCAUGCAUGGUCCUCCAGCCAGAGACCGCGCUGGGAGAAAUCAGGGGUUCACUCCUGGUCGGAGGUGAGCAUCUGCCUCUGCAUGUAGGAAGGCAUCUCAUGAAACCCCAAAGGCCUGGCAGCCCCUGCACAUGGAAGGAGUCACUCUCCUCCAUGUGGGGUGAGCCACGCUGGCCUUGUGGCAUUCACAUGUUCCCUCCACCUGCUUCUCCAGCGUGAAGGGGACCUCAAUGUCCUCUGAUGACCUUCUUGAAGAGAGACAUUUCCUUCCUUCAUUGGAGGCUUUAGACGGAGCCAGUGACAGCUCAGCUCUGGCUGUUUCCCAUCUGUGAAAUGGGAAGAGGGAGGAUGGCACGAGUCCCUUGCCCUCACCAAACUGGCCGCUAGAGAGAGGAAAGAUGUUUCCAUUCUGAUCCCCACUCACCUCCACCCCAUCCUUCCAGGCUUCUGAUCCUCAUUGUAAUUUUGGAGCUAUUUGGUGAUAUUGUCUUUGUCCUUGGAUCCGAGGCUUCUCCUACCAACUCAUUGUUUUUUCAACGUGACAAAAUAAAAGCCCUGAGCUGGGCGCGGUGGCUCACGCCUGUAAUCCCAGCACUUUGGGAGGCCGAGGCAGGUGGAUGACGAGGUCAGGAGUUCAAGACCAGCCUGACCAACAUGGUGAAACCCCGUCUCUACUAAAAAUACAAAAAAUUAGCUGGGCAUGGUGGCAUGCACCUGUAAUCCCAGCUACUCAGGAGGCUGAGGCAGGAGAAUCGCUUGAACCCGGGAGCCGGAGGUUGCAGUGAGUCGAGAUCAUGCCACUGCACUCCAGCCUGGGCAACAAGAGUGAGACUCCAUC